rnacentral:misc_RNA from 1 species
AAGGUUCUUAAUGAAUGUCUAAGGUAAGCAUCAUUUUGUUGAUAUAUAAUCUUUGGAUUUUGUAAAAAGUUUUAGAACUCAAUCAGUUUUUUAAAGCAGAAGCAAUUUAGAUGGAUUUGUUGUCUGCGUGUCUAGUUAUGUAGUGUUUAAAAAUAUAACUUCACCUUUCAAGAAAGUUUAUGUUGUAGCCUUUAUGUGAAUUUCUCAGAUGGUUUGAAGAAAGCUACUCAUCGUAAAUUAGUACUUGAGUUAACAUGAAUAGCCUUAUCACUUUAUUUUAUUUUAUUUUACUUUUUAUUUUUUGAGACGGAGUUUCACUCUUCUUGCCUGGGCUGGAGUAUAAUCUCAGCUCACUGCAACCACUGCUUCCCAGGAGAAUUGCUUGAACCCGGGAAGCGGAGGUUGCAGUGAGCUGAGAUCGUGCCACUGCACUCCAGCCUGGGAGACAGAGCGAGACUCUAUCUCAAAAA